AGAUGCUUUGGUGCCUUCGGGAACUCUGAGACAGGUGCUGCAUGGCUGUCGUCAGCUCGUGUUGUGAAAUGUGGUUAAGUCCCGCAACGAGCGCAACCCUUAUCCUUUGUUGCCAGCGGUCCGGCCGGGAACUCAAAGGAGACUGCCAGUGAUAAACUGGAGGAAGGUGGGGAUGACGUCAAGUCAUCAUGGCCCUUACGAGUAGGGCUACACACGUGCUACAAUGGCGCAUACAAAGAGAAGCGACCUCGCGAGAGCAAGCGGACCUCAUAAAGUGCGUCGUAGUCCGGAUUGGAGUCUGCAACUCGACUCCAUGAAGUCGGAAUCGCUAGUAAUCGUAGAUCAGAAUGCUACGGUGAAUACGUUCCCGGGCCUUGUACACACCGCCCGUCACACCAUGGGAGUGGGUUGCAAAAGAAGUAGGUAGCUUAACCUUCGGGAGGGCGCUUACCACUUUGUGAUUCAUGACUGGGGUGAAGUCGUAACAAGGUAGGCGUAGCGAG
rnacentral:rRNA from 1 species